rnacentral:rRNA from 1 species
AGGUAAUACUCUCAAGGGAAACCUUCCUCUUAUGGCGGCCUUAAUUCUUAUUAGAGGAACUCGUCUCUUAAUCGAUAAUCCACGAUAAUAUUUUCUAUUCUUUACGCUCUUAUACCGCCGUCUCAAGACCAAAUUAUUUAUAUGAUCAUAAAAAUAAUCUAUUAUUAAGUCAGGUAAAGGUGAGGCUAUAGUAUUAGAGAAGAUAAGUUACAUGUAAAUAUGAUUUAAGGAUUUUUCAUAAAAAUGUGAAGGAAAAAGGAUUU